UCUACUGCCUGCAUUCCACCUCCUGCCGCAGGCGCUGCCGCUUCCCUGCAUGCCCCGGGAACUGCGGACUGUUCAGGUGCUGUGGGGCUACAAGGACAAUCUGAUCUGCUUCAGCUUCUUCUAUGCUCUUUGCUGGGUCACUUCUUAGGAAGAAGUUAGGAGGCUGAGAACAGCUGAGCAUCAGCGAUCUCCUUGUGCUGUGUUCCAUCCUGCGGCUCGUCGCUCCAUCACUGAGAUCCAUAGGCUUCAUUUCAGCUCUUUGGCAAUGCUUCUUCUAACCUUGCUGCAAGAAGUCCUUGUGGCCAAUGCAUCCUCCCUAACGAGGCUGACGGGCUGCUGGCGAAAGGUGCCAGAGGAUGGAAGCUGGCAUGCUGAGGGCUUCUGUCCUGCGGUGCAGGCUGCUGGGAUCUGCCUUCCAUUGUGCUACUGAAACAUCAUCAAAGCCAGGAAAUGGGAGUGCCAUUCCAGUGAAAACCUUUGCAGUGCUGCAGCAGAGAGCCUUAAAUUCAAAGCAGUACUUUAAAAAUCAGAACUAGAAGGCGCUGCAUUAGGCCAGUGAAUGAUUCCAGCUUACACUGCCCACACAUUUGGGAAGGCUGCUUCAUCACUUCACUGCUACAUUUGUCACCUGACACCUGAGGACAGGUCACUGGAUCACAGUUCCUUACUGCCCUGCAGCUGGGGAAGGAGUUUGCAGCCCUUCUGCUGAGAAGACAGGGCUGGGUCUGCAGCCAUUAAAAGGAGCAGAAGAAGAUUUCCUCGAAUUCCUGCAUUGCUGUGAGCUGACACAAGGGCACGGCGCUCCACGCAGCAACCACCAGAUGUGCAGUGCAGGUUAUCUCUUCGCUUGUCUAAUCAAGUCUGGAAAAAAUAAUUGUCAUUAAUUCACUGACCUGAACCUGGGCCGAGCUGUUCUGUGCACUGGCUGAAUGUGACAACUAAUCCAACAGAAAUAUGCAUUAUAUUCCCCUACAUUGCCACCUUGAAACGUCCCGGCACUGCCUCCCUGCAGUACUGGUGCUGCCACAGGGACAGGGACACGAGCUGAAGUCUCCAUGAAGUCCUGUAUGGAACAAAGGCCAGAAGGAAGUCAUGAUUUCAGUGUGUCUACUGUACUGGAAGGAAAAACAGAACAAACAGAUCCUCCUUGAAACUCUUCCCACAACCAAACUUUUAAUGUUUUUAUGAGAGAUCUGCACAUGUAUUCACAUUUAUCAGCAUAUGCAAAUCUCCCACUGAAGGGAAGCAGGCUGUGUCAGAGCAGUGGAGGUAGAAGCUGACAGUAGAUCUCUACAGCUGUCAAAACAACGGCCUGGUAGAAUGCAGCCAUCAAAACACGAGUCUUGUGUGCACAUCUCAGACUUGGCUGUUCAAUCUCUUGCACCAGAAGCUCCUAUGGCAAAUGUUUUUGAAACACGGAUGAUCCGAGUGCAUCAGAAAGAAAGCAAUAGCUGUGACAUCUUGGUCUCCAUCCUCAAAAGGCACUGGGAAUUCCAAACAAUCUAGUAAUUGGAAUUCAUAGCUAGUUUCUGUAUGAAAAGUCAGCUGUAGAAAAUAGUGUGUUUGAAAGUAUCCCCUACUCCAUACAUCAGCAUGUAACCCGGAAGCUUUCCUUCCUUGCAGUUCCCUUUGGGUUGCUUUUCCCAGUAAGAGGUCCUACCCCCUUUUUGACCAGAGGCUCUUGUGGUAAAGGGGAGCGCUGUGGGACUUCCAAGCUGGAGUGGAGGGAGAAGCGGGUAGUGAGGCAAUGCUGUGCUAUUGGAAGUUGUGCUGUUGUAAACCAUGGGAACAGCUGACCUGAGGAAUCUGCGAGAAACAAUCCUCUAUCGUCAGACACUGAAUAAUCUAAUGACUUAUUUCAGUUUCUUAAAAAUUGCCUUUUCAUCAGUUGAAAGUUGCAAAUUGCUGGUUUAAUGAGUCCCAAGCAGAGAAAAUAGAAGUAAAAAUAUAUGCAUCUUAUCUAAUAAAUGCUGAGCACUAGACAGGCAUGACUAAAGCAAACUAACCUGCAGAUUUUAAAUCUCUUAGGAUCUGUUGCAGACAGCUUGGUUCAAAACAGCCAACGAAAGAACAGAGCUGCAGCAGGUCUGCCUCGGCACCACUUGCUGCAGCUCCUGGAGGAGCAGCGUUGCAUUUUCUGUUUGGUAAACUGCUGACAGUGCUAACAGUACCAUCUUUGAAACAGCAAACUGAGCAUGUGCCAUCCCUUUGAAGGACACAUGCUGAAAUGCAGGAUGAGUAGUUCCAGAUAAGCCAGCACAGUAUGUCAGUACCUUCAGCGUGUUGCACAAACUUGCUGAUAGGGGACAAAACAAAAACCACAGAAACAAAAGCAGCUCAACAUAUUGUUCUGGUGAAAUGAGAACUCUCUCCCCAGUGUCUGUAUGCUUUGUUUAAUGGAUCAUGGGAGCCUCAGGAUUCACCAGUGUCUCACGAAGCUGCACCAGGCGAUGGCAGAUGGCAGCAGGAGCACGCGGUGCAAGAAUGCGCCCUUCUCUUAAAUGCAGCAUGAGGGUGGAGGCCCUGGGCUUCUUUCCACGCAUGACUCAAAUGAAUCUUCUGCCUAAUGAGUAGCAUUUUGAAGUCAGCUUAAAAAUCCUAUAGUGAUCCUAUCUAACCAGCUUCUCCUACGUAAAGAUUAAUUUUUUAUAAUGGUGGUUUUCUUUCCAGUUGCCCAGGGCAGUUAUUUGCUAGGGCAGCCUCCUAUCAGCUGAGAUAACAAGGGCAAAGACUGACAGUCCAGCAGAGUCUGGGUUGUGCUCAUUUCUGGGGGAGCAGCGGAUACUAUUAAUGGUGUUCAGGCCUAAAUGGAACCAAGUGUCUCAUUGGGAAAAUAUGUUGGGGAGAAAGGGCUGUGCUAGGGGGCUGCAUACCCAGAUUGUGCUCCUGUUGGAUGACUGGCUGAUAAAACCAGCACUCCUAUAUAACCUUGCAAAAGUCAUUAAUGAAGCUUCAGUGCCUCACAGUGAUGGUGGUGCUCCCAGCUGAUGGAGACAUGCUGGAGCAAGCUGCAGUAACAGUGUCUGACUGGCAGUCUUCCCUGCUGGGUGCUGCUGUCAGGAAGGCACAGUAGAGACUACGUAGGCAUAUUGAAAUAGGGUAUGAGAUCAAAUCAUCUAAAAGAUCUGCAAGGACCCUUGUUGUCUUCUUCCUUGCAGUUUGCAAAUUGCUGCUGUAUACUGAUUUUAUCUGAUUUCAAAUGUAGCUUAAGAGACUGUUUGGUAGGCAAGAGCAUCUCUAAACUAGUGGUGAGCCUUUGGGGGCUGUGUGGCAGGUGACACAGGCUGGAGGUUUCCAUAAGUAUAGGAUCCAGUUGGCAGCAUAGGCUGGUGCCCUUGGAGGUGGUAUUGCUGCAAUGGGCGAUCUGUGUCCUCAGCUGAGCACUGGCACAGAACUAGCUGUGGAUGGCAGAGCCUCGAUUUCUUCUUCCAAGUAGCAAUGGGCUGCAAAAAUUAACAUGAGUAAAAUCCAUCUCCAUCCUAGGAACAUGUAAACAUCUGGACGAGUAGUUAUGAAGAUUAAUGUUAUGCACAGGGUAAGAAUUCCCACUGACAUUUGCUCAGUUUGCCCAAGCAAGUUAGUGGAAACCUCCUGUGAAUAUGAACCGUACUCUGCAGUGCUGCGCAGGCAUUUAACAGCUUGGAUGCCAGUCUCCUUACAGGCACAUCAGUAAGUCUUAGUCUUUAAUUGCCUUAAAAUAUAAUAUUGGAAGAAAAAAAAAGUCAUAGAGGUAUGUGUAACUUUUAAGACUAAGUGGAAAAGAAGUAAACAACAAUAAAGUUAUCCCCAUCUUUGGACUUAAAAUCAGUCCUGACUGAGGCAGUUCUUCAAGGAGAGUGGGUGACAGCUGUCUGUCAGGUCUGAGCAACACGUCUUCUGCACUGAUGAUCAAUGCCUGAAAUAACGCUGAGGUGCAGCAGUAGCUGUGUAUCAUUCAUAGGAGGGUGGCAGCUGCUCCAAGUACAGCACUGAGCGUGAAUGCCUGCUGUCUCGUGGUCAGUGGUUACUGCUGUGCCUGAAGCCUGGCUGUGCCUGUGGUCAGAUGCUCUGACAUCAAAGGUACUGUUGGCUCCUUUGGGCUGGUGAACUUUAUUGAAAGCAUGCCAUGUUUGGAGUCCCAUGAGCAGGUAACGUGCAUCCAUCUGAGCGUGCAGGUUUGAACGUGUCUGCCAUAAGGUAUUUGAAUCUGGAGGCAAUGUGAUUCUUGCUAUGCAAUAAAAUCAAGAAUACACAGUCUUUUAGUGUCUAAACCCCUCCCAGUCCUCCCCUAUUCUGAACGUACUGUUAUCAUUACACCGAUACUUGCUGUGUAAUACACUUUAAAUGAGUGUGAAUGUGCUAUGGACUAAUGUGGUUAUCUCCAUAUGGCAGGAAGUUGCUUGGUCGGAGGUCAUCUCCAUACUGGUGUAAUUCCAGGCAUGUUGCUGGUUUUAAUAAUAUAAUGACGAUAAUUGAUGUUCUAAAACUGGUAAGGUCAGUGUUCACUGGCUGCUACAUUUACUUGGCAGCCAGCUCAGCAGUAUUAACACGAAAUGAGGCACAAAUCCCACGUCCUGCUCCCAGGCCUGAUAGCAGAAUGGGCGCUCCAAUGAAUCGCAGUGCUGUUUACUCCUUUGGCACUCCUUUCUUGCUGACCUCUGCCCAGGUGUGCCAUGCAGCAGGGUAAGACGGGGUGAAGCCAGGGCCAACCUGAAAAGCCCUCACGUGGCAGUUUUGCCAUGACGAGUUAAUCACAGCAUUUGCUGGUAUUAUUCCAGACUUUUUUUUCCCCCUUUGGAUGUGUGCAGGUUCACAGAGUAAAGGCAGGACGACUGUUGAAUGUGUAUUAAUGGCUAUAAGAAAUAUAGGUCCCAGUUUGCCAGUUGUUCUGCCAGGUUCUCAGACAGGAAUGUUUAGGGAGCUUUUUCUCGGCAUGGUGCAAAGCCUGCAGCUAAGAAAAGAGCCCAGGGAAGAUAAUCUGCCUUUUUCCAUGUUCAGCAUUUCCCACCCGGUGUGAACCUAAAUCAUGUGGAUUUCACUACUGGCUCUGCAAUGUUACGGGGAGAUAAGGCGGUAACAACUCAUUUGUAUCCCCAGAUGAGAUAAACCAGAAGCACAUCUCCCCGUUUGUGAGUGGCUUCCUAUCAGAGGUGAGAAUAACUGCGCGGCACUAAGCUGGCAGUCAGCAGUGAUUAAUAAUAGUAAAUCUUUUGCAUAAAUAGAAAGGUGUCAUUGUGUGUAUUUCACUUACAGUGUUUCUAAUGUGUGUCUGUAAUUAAAUUACAUCUGGUUUUCUGUCCAAGAAAUUAAUGUGCACUUACAUAAUGUGUUGGUGCUCUUAUGUUCAGGAGGGGGAAAUGAGUGCUCUGCCUUUUCAAGUGGAGAUUGCUUCAUCCAUAGCUUUUUGGGGGAGUGGAAAUAGAUUUAUUCUAUCUUUGCACGUUCGUCUGAUUCGGUGCUGAAAUCACUGGAGCAAAUUCAGCAGCCCCGGAUGCCUUCAGUUCAGGAUCCCGUUCUGAAUGAUGAUGGAAGAGAAGAAGCGUGUUACUUUGUGCUAAGAUCUGCCAGAACAGCAGUGCCCUGGAAAUAUCUGACUGCACAAAAAUCAAAAGGAAAUUGGAGAUUGGCUUUGUUAAGGACACCUCCUGUUCUAUGGCACUGUCACUCAAUCGCUGUGUGGGAGUGCAUACAUUGUCUACAGGUGGUAGUGAGGAGGAGUCAAAGCUUCAGAGAGAGCUGCAGGAACAGCUGGACCUCAUAAGAGCUGCAAAAGAAGAUUCCCCAGCUAAAACAUGUCCAUGGAGAGCCAUAUGUGCAUAGCUGUUAGGAUUUUGGAAUCAGUGUGGUGGAAUGACAGGGAGAUGAUGGGAAAGUGAUUUCUUGAAACUUCAGCAUAUGCUUUUCAUUUGUGUGAGCUGGCACUGCCACGAGCCAGAGGAGGCUUGCAGCAAGCGGGGCCAUGCGGGACUGGCACCUGCUCGGCUGUGCUCGGGUGACUUCUGGACCUUCUGGUACUGUGAGUGAGCCGCACUUGAUGGAAAGAUGCUGAGCAUUUUUUCUUGACCCCAUGUCAUUGUGGAGUGGUUGCAGCUUGCUGUCACGGGCAGUCUUGUCUUGCAGAGAGCAGCAUAUCCCUGCAGAAAGAGAAAUGCUGUGGUAGCUCUAGAUGCAAGAGAAGCUUCAAGGAAAGUUUGCAUUUAAUUAUUGUUAGAAAUGUGCAGCAAAACAGAUUUCAUUGUUUUUAGCUCUUACAAAGCCAUAUGCCUAUGUCUCUGGGUUCCAAAACCACAUAACGAACAAAACAAAACAAACAAACAAAAGCAAGACCACAAGCAAGACCACAUAGCAGUAAUUAAAUGUCUCUGUUCCAGAAUAGGGUGCGUACUGUGAUCAAGACUGGCAGUAGCAGGGAAGCCAGGGUGCAUAGCUGAAGGAGGAGAGCAGACAGGAGCAAUGGGCAGGGUUUGCAGGGAAUGAGGAGCGUGGGUCUGUGUGCACCCUGGGAAGGGGCUCGUAACCAAGCACACAGUACUGGAACCUGCUGUGUGGUUGUUUGCAGCUGGAAAAAUGCAAUGGAGACAUGAUUCCUCAUGUAAUUCUUAGGUUGAAUCAGUUGGACCUAUUCUUUGCUUACUCAUUCAAAACUAACAUUUUAUUCUGUCCCAGCGAGCUGAAGCAGACUGGCUUACUUCUCAUAGGGUGUCCAUCCAGCUGCCUUGAAGACAGCAGAAGGAACUAGAGAUUGUGGUCACAGUUCAGUGACUGAGUGAAGGGAUGAAGGUCAUUCCUCUCACUGAGACAGUCUCUUCAUACUCCCUGUCACCGCUUCUCUGCUCAGUGUUGUUCCUGCUAAUCGGGAUGCUUUGAAAUAGAGAGAGAGGAUAGUGGGAGGUGCAAGAAGAAAGACUGAAUUGAAGGCAGAAGAGAGCACAGUGGGGAUACAGACAGAAAAACAGGCUACGUGCUGAGCACAUUUAAAGGAGCACAGCUGGAACAGUGCUGGAGAGUAACAAAACUAUCUUUCCAUGUGUGUUUGCCUGUUCCCGUGUUAUUUUUCCCCAGUACUGCAUACAGCAUGGUUUCCCCACAAGGUUAAAGAUCACAAUAAUGUUUUAUGUAGGUAGCAGAAUACCCUGCGUGGAGGAAGUGGUACAUGAUUUUACUUAGAGAACAGAGAUUUCAUGGUUUUUAACACAUGCAAGGAAAUUUGUCUACUGGCAUCUGUUGCGGAGAUGGUAUCCCUUUGACACAAGUCAGGAAGCAAAAGCAUCUGUGGCUGUAAGGACAGUGCUUGCAGAAAACACUUGUGCAGAUAUCUUUAUUCAGGUCUGGUUCCCAUGUAGAAAGAGGCAUGUCCUCAGGAUGGCUGCUGAAUGCCAUCAGCACUGGGAGAGAAAAGAACAGAUGUAUGGCUGUAAACCGAGAUGUGAAAAAGCAGGAAUCUGAAGUUAGCUUGAAAGUUAUUUGGGCUGGGGUAUUGGUGGGAAGUGUCAGUGGGCAGCAGCUCAGAACCUGCAGUAACUGCUUGGCUGCCUGGCUCUUUCUUCAGCAAUCUCACUUGAGUGUUUUCAUGUGCAAGCAGAGGACACUGAUCUGCCCUGUCUUCCACACAUGUGCAUUCAUUCAGUGCAGUUACCUGUGUUGCUGUAGUAUACCUGCCCCUUUGGACUUGAGCACAAAUGUAUCAGGUAAAUGCAGGUGGAUGCAGCCACCGGUAAAGAAGUUGGUUUUUUUUUUCAUUGUGAUUGAUGCGUGGAUAGCAACCCUAUCCCAGUCUUACUAUUGGAUCAUCAGUCAAGACUUGAGGACUGCUGAAAGUAUGUCCUCAUCCCUAAGGUGUUGCAGUUCAGUGCUGGACCCGUCCAAGCUGAGACAAACUGAUUUUUGCAUUCAACAAAGCAAUGAUAGGACAAGAGGGCAUGGCCUCAAGUUGUGCCAGGGGAGAUUCAGGCUGGAUAUUAGGAAGAAUUUAUUUCCAGAAAGAGCAAUGAGGCAUUGGCACAGGCUGCCCAGGGAGGUGGUGAAGUCAUCAUCCCUGAAGGUGUUUAAAGAAAAGGCAGAUGUAGCACUUAGGGACAUGGUUUAGUGGGCAGUAUUGAUGGUAGGUGGAUGGUUGGACUAGAUGAUCUUAGAGGUCUUUUCCAACCCUAAUGAACCUGUGAUUCUGUGAAUGCAUGUGGAGUAUAUGACUGGCAGAAAGGACGGAUGUUGGGACGCGAAGCCUGAGUUCAGGUCUGAUACCAAAUGACUCCUGCAAAUUGGGCAGAGUAGGCUUCUGCUCUCUCCAUGCUUAAUUUCCUAACACUGUUUGGAGCUAGUUGGGAGCAGGAGAUAGUGAGCUGUCCAGAAAAACAACCAUUCCAGGUGCCGUGAUGAGUGUGGAGUAUACAGGCAUUGCACAGAAAGCAGUGACAGCAUGGUCUGCAUUAUCUGGUGAGGUGGUACAUCAUCUGCAUACCUGUGUGAUUCUAUAUGUGUGUAUCAGCAGCCUAUUGUUACAACGUGCUUAUGUGGCAAUUCGUUUGUGGAGUGUACCUUGUGCUGGUGUUCCACAGUAUUAAUGUUCUCAAGCAUGGGAAGACAUCUGUCAAGCAAGCACUAGUAAAUACCAUGCAGCUGUACUUUGUCAGGGUUCCAUUUUGCAUUUCCCUCUUUUCUCUACCUCAACACUCCUUCAGAUCACACUGACAUCAGUUGUGAUUAUGGCAAAAGAAGAUAACUCCUGUUAACCCUGUCAGAUGCUUGCAUAAGAUGAAGGCAUUUUCUUAAUGCACUCAUAAUCUAUAACCAGUUGUUUUUAAAGCCAUUUGAGAACCGUACAGAGAAGGCAUUUUGCAUUUGGUCAGUCAGAAGUUGGUAACUGUUUUAGAAGCCUGCUGGAAGGAAGACAUCAAGAAAAGCUUUUGCAAAGCUGUGUUUUCACCUCACAGUGCUUUGCAGAGAUGCAUUCUUGGGUUCGGUUCAUAUGGGUUCAUUUCUCUGACUUUCACUUUGAAUUUUGGAAUCAAAGGCAUUUUAAAAUUUUAGAUCAAACUUAUUAGAAAACACUGUAUCUCACCUGGUUUCAGCUCUUUAAGUAGUGAAAAGCAGUGCCUCCCCUGCUGUGAUCCUGAUACAAAUCUGUAAGUCAUCACGCCAGCGCGUUUGAAGCUGGGCCUAGCACUUCUGUCCAGAGUACAGCGUUGCUCAGAAAGUUCAUGGCUUCACCUUUGAACAGGGUGUUGCAGCGAAACAGGCAGCAGGCCGGAUUUCUGGGUAGAUGGCAAAGACAGCACCCAGCUUUCAUUUUGGGGAUUUUCCUAGCAUAAAGCUGCCCGAGCCAGAAGGCAGUUUGCGGCCACAGAUCCCUGAUUUUGCUCCUUUGAAUCACAGCUGGUGUCCUUUUGGGUGCAUCAGACGUGUUUGCUUCUGUCCUGGAGGCCGACAUUCAGCCAUCAUGGCCGUGGCUAAGGUCUCCAUCCUUGCCAUAUAGACUGGAGUCUGCAGCAGUAGGGCUUAGAACUUGAUACAAGCCUGAAGGGAGAGUUAUGAGCACAGUGACUGACAGCUCACGACUGUCUGAUAUGUCAGACCUCUGAGACCAGGUCUGGGAGGGAGGGUGAAUACAGUACCUGGGGAGCAGUCCCUUCCCUUCCUCCUGCUGGGGGGCAGUGGGGCUGGGCCUGUCCCUGCUGCCCACCCUGCCCUCCAGAGCACAGCUGCCCCUGCGGUUUCCGGGAAUCCCCGCCUGUAUGUGGUUUCUUAACCAGUCCUGCAAAAAUGUAUUUUUUAUUGAAUGUUAUUCUAGCCAUAAAACUUUUAAGCUGUUCAAAUACUUUCCUUUGUGCAGUAGACAUCUGAGACUAUUAGGCAUUAACAAGUAAAUGUACUUUUUUUUUUUCAACUGCUUCAAUCUGCUAAGGAGUUUUCUUUGGACUGAUUCUCCUCUAGUGUUGUACCAGAGGAAACAUUACUGUGAUCUGAUAUCAUAUCUCCUCACUAUCUGUCUCCUCAGAUUGCAGAUGUGGAUGUGUUUUAUGUUGAAUUACAAAGGGACUUUAUUUUGUGGUAACCAGUUAGGUCAAACAGCUCACCCAUGGUCCAGAAGUGCUUAAAGCCCAGAGGUACCGAUGUGAUUCACGGCAGUCCCUCUGUAGAGCCCAUAGAGUGUGGGGUGAGAGCGUGGGCUUCAGUAAAUCUCAGCUGGAAGAUUUUAGGAGGUGAAUUUCACUAUUUCUUGAGCUAUUUAAUAAUGACUAUAAUCCAUUUUUUAACACCUGUCACAGGAGCUUCAUGUCACUGGAGCUGUUGACUUUAAUGUACUUCAUUACUUGUAUAACGGCAUCAUCUGUUGUUGGCAUCCAAUUAAGUGACAAACAGUGAGAAGGAUCCUGCCCCAAACUGUAUGAGACAGGAAGCAAGCAGCAUUCUUGUAGUUGUGCAAACAGUUAAAGCAGUGCCAAAAUUUGCUUAACAUAUUCCGGAUCUUAUUGAAAUGCUUGGCCUAGUAUGGUUAACUAUACACCUGAAUUGGGCUGUAGACGCUUAUUUCAUUGGCCUGAUAUUCCUGUUGGUAUUCCUGUUGAGGGGACUCUUUUCUUGGGGUUUCAGGAAAGCUCCUUGCUGGGGUUGCUGGGAUCAGUUCUGCCCCGACCACCCACAGCCCAGGCAGCAUCGCUCUCAAGUAAGGCUCAUUCCAUAGCAGGUGCCAGAGGCUUGCCCAGGGCAGGCUGCUCUCAGCCUGUGGAAGAAAGCUGUGUAACACCUCUUAAUCUGUACGUAAUGGUUUGGAUAAGGAAACUGGUAAUCUGAAAACAUUUAUCUGGUGAUGCUUUUGAUUCGUAUGCCUGAGUGAAAUAUUGUGAACUGCUCCCAGUCCUGUAAAUGCAAGGCAAUUAGACUAUGAGGUGAAGUAUAAAGAGGAAUUUGAAGAGCACCAUGCCAGUGAUAAAACCCGUAAAACCCUUGCACAUCCAUCACCUGUGUUGUGGAUGCAGUUCUAAUCCCUGUAUUUUAAGAAGGGCAUUGGGGAGUUAAGAGGCAUUACAGUAAAGAUGAUCGUGGGGCUGAGGCAGCUGUUUUGGGGGGAGAUGAGGGGUGGUUGUUGGGCAAGGCAGACCCAAUAGGGCACUUGUGAUUUCAGCCUUCAGCAACAUAGGUAAAGUAGCUCUCUUCUCUGUUGGACAGAAUGACUGGAGGAGAAUUCUUGGGCCUUUUAUUCAUUAUUUACAUGGCUUUUGUGUCUGCUGGCAUAGUGUAGCGUAACCCAGAAUGCGUAAAAUACAGUGAAGUUGAAAUAUGUGUGAAUUUAAUGCCUGAGAAACAUAAAUCAUGUCAUGCAGGUGAGAUGCAUUGACUGAAUCAAAUGCACUGAACUUCAGAGCCAGUCCUUCUUUGGAAGCAUGUUAAGAACUGUCCACCCCACUCUUCUCAGGGCAUUGUUGUGUGCUCUACCAAAUGAGAUUCUCAAUUCUUCUUGGAAAAAAAAAAGAUUUUUGUUUCCUAUUCUGUCUUCGAGUCCAUCUUUGCAAAGAAGCAACAAGUCUCUGAGAGGGGGAGAUGCUGGUGAGGCUUCAUCUAAAUCAGGCAGGUUUAUAAGACCAGGAGGGAAAACACAUUUUCAGACAUGGUCAAACAGAGGAGCUGGAUGAUUUCGUCUUUGUCCAUUCAUAACAAUGACGGAACAGAAACUAAAAGUUGAGCUUAAAAGAGCAAAAGCUUUGGAAAGAAAACUUGCUCAUGGCUUCAGAGCUGGCUUGGAGUAUGUAGGCAGGAAGCCUGGAGCUUUGUAUGGGAGUUUGGUUUAACCCUAUGAAAAACAUCAUGGAAGAGAGCUGUGGGAACUUCAGCAGUUUUCUGCAGAGUUGAACUAGGAAAGCCAGGAUAGGUUUAAGCAUCAAGGCAGGUUUUUUUUUUCCAGGAAAGCAGAGUUCUAAAAUAACACCUCAGAGGUGUUUGUAGCAUUGGAUUUUUCAUUCUUAACUUCUUAUUCAAGAAAAACUUUGAUUGUUAUGUGUAGGAAAUUCAGUGUUUGUAGCUUAUUACUUGUUUUGCAUGUGAACAAUUUCAGUCAACACCUAAAAAUUUGUUUAUGACAGUUUUGCCACCUGUCCAGUGGGAACUGCUUGACUUUUUAACCAGCCAUUGACUUGCAGAACUGCUUUCAUAAGAUGCAGAAAGGAUUGGAAGGUGUUUUCCUACAGACAGAUUACAGCAACAUCUUUAAUUUCAAGCCUGUUAGCAGCUGAUAGCCUGUUAUCCCAUAGCCUUUACACAGACCUUGACUCUCAUAACCCUCACAAUUAUUCUUCAUCCCACAAAUGUUAAUAUUUACUAUAUAGUCAAUCUCCAAACCACAGGGAGUCAUUUGCAUGCGUGGUAUCACUUGCACUUCAACUAAAUAAAACCAUUAACCUUUCACUGAUACACUUAGGUCAUAGAAGUCACACUUGUAUGGGUUGUGUAGUUUGGGUUAACGCUGUAACAUUCCCUUCUCACCCUUACAGUACAGCACCUCCUGAGCAUGGCAGCCCUGACACUGAUGCUGAACUUGUGUGCCCUGUCCCAGGCGGGGACUGGCACUGGAGCAGGUCGCACUGAGCCAUAAUUGUAAAUUCUCUGGGGCUGGAGUCACCAGCCAGUAAUCCUCUAUGCACAGGCUCCCCCUUAUGGAAAUGAAAGAUACUAAACAAUGCUUUUUUCCUCUUGUCUCAGACAAAACUAAUAGUUUAUUACUGUGAAGACACUUCUCAAGCCUGCAGUAGUACUUUUCAACUUAAAGUUUUAAGUUCGGGUGAUGAUGGAAUGGAUGUAGGCUCACCGUGGCAAACAUGAAUGAUGAUGACACAUGUAUGUGUUUAUACUCAAAGUGAUAAGAGCUCCUUUGGAGGCUGGAAUUUCUUGUGAUUUCCUGAUGGUGAAGAAGGGAACAGGAGCUCUUCAGAUGUUAAGAGAUGCUGCAGAGUAAAUCCUAGCUGUAGCCUCCUCUGUCUUCAGAGGAGCAAAAGAAAGUCAGUGGGAUCAAAUAAUUUAGUUCUGGAAUAGUUAUAUUUUGAUGCUCUACAGUGGAUAUUUUGGAUUGGAUCCUGAUGGAUCAGAACCAUUGGAAGAGUUAGAAAUAGACACCGUGGAUUUUUCCCUUAGCCAAUUCUAGUAAAAAGUUUCAAGUUGUUCCAGUGAGACACACCAUGUGUAGAUUUAGAUAUGCUCUUGCCUUCUUACUUUUAUUUUGCGUGAAAGAUGGUUCCCAGCUUCAUGAAAGCUAUGUGAGAGCAGUUACAGUUCUGUGCUCAGCCUAUUCUGACACUCUAGCACAUGUGCAUGACAACAGUAGGCUAGACAGAGCUUUGGAUUUGCUCAGUGGGGCAGUUCUUGUGACUGCAGGAUAUCUCCUAGUGCCAAAGUACCAUAGUUGGAGCUGAUGCUGAUCAGCAUCAUCUCACUGAUGUCCUGUGUUCUGGUGAGAGGCUCUGAUAGCUUGUGUGAGUUGGGGUGACAGAGCAGUUCUUUCUUUUGCGAGACCAACUUUCUGUUGGCGUAAGCCAUAUAAAUGGGUGUUGUUCAGACAACACCUGAAGGGUCUGCCUGGCUCCCUAACAUCAAAAUCACAUGGGGAGAUUGCUUAAACAUUUAAAGUACUGUUGAAGGUACAUUAUUAGUAACAACAAAUAGUAUUGUUAGUUUUUAUAGUGCUAGUAUUAAUAGUAUCAAACACAUUUAGAAUAUAUUGAAGUUGCUGGUCUGGGCCCUCACCUCACAGAUGAAGUCAUUCCUGUACCAGAGAGAACAGGAGGCACACGUGUCCCAGGGCAGGAUCUGAACUGGAGAGGCACAUACUGGUUUUGCUUUUUUUUCCCCCCCCAUUUUUAGAUUUUAUUAGUAUUAUUGAUUUGUAUUGUUCUUCUAACUUGUUUAUUACCCAGUUUUGAAACCAAGAUCCUAGUGGAGCUACUGGAGUGGACUUUCAUGCUGAACUUGAGUCCUUCUUCCCAUCCAAACUAAAGUAUUCUGCAAGGCAUGGCUCACACAGUGCUUGCAGCCUUUCUGCUUUGCCCGUGUGCUGAAUGAGGUUCAGGCCUUUGUGGGCUCAAUGUGAUGCCCUCCUGUGUUCCUGGUCUCAUUUCAAUGCUGCUAGGGAAAUUGAUUUUAAUUACACAUGCUGCUGAUCACCUAAUCUCAUAAGGGGACAUGGCUGAGAAAUAAAGAACCCAGAAAAAGGAAACUAAUUUAUGCACUCUGGGGACAGGAGGAGUGAUUUGAGUGGUGCAUGGGAAGAGGAGUGCUGGAGAGCAAAAAGAAGCUGAGAUGAUGGAUGGUGUGAUUAAAAACUCUGAUGUUUCUCAGUACAUUCUCCCUUCAUUUGCUUAAAGCAAACACCAUUUCAGUUUUCUCUGGCGGCAUCUUUGGGUUUUAUUUUAUGCAGUCAUUUUUAAUGUACUUUGCUAUCUGGCCUUGCAGUUGUAGGCUGUGUUCUGCAAACCCAACUGAACCAAACUGACAGUGGAGGGCCCAUUGCCUGAGCAGCACAGUUCCAGUUUUGUGUUUGAGAUCAGUUCUCAAGCACAGGGAUUGCACUGCAAAGGCACUCGGGGGGACCGUGAUGCCACCCAGACAAGUCUCAGUGUGCCCAGUUUCUCCGUCCCUCAGCGGUCCUCUCUGCCCAGCACCGAGCAAAGGCCGUGCCCGCAGCCUGCCAGGCUGCCGUAUGCCCGAGUCCC
rnacentral:lncRNA from 1 species